CGGACGGGUGAGUAAUGUCUGGGAAACUGCCCGAUGGAGGGGGAUAACUACUGGAGACGGUAGCUAAUACCGCAUAACGUCGCAAGACCAAGGAGGGGGACCUUAGGGCCUCUUGCCAUCGGAUGUGCCCAGAUGGGAUUAGCUAGUAGGUGGGGUAACGGCUCACCUAGGCGACGAUCCCUAGCUGGUCUGAGAGGAUGACCAGCCACACUGGAACUGAGACACGGUCCAG
rnacentral:rRNA from 1 species